CAUUCUUGGGGUCACCGCGACAUGGUGCUGCUCGUAUUGAGUUGCUAAUUUCACUAAAAGUGCCAUAACUUCUCACCCGAGUAUCAGAUUUGGGAAAAUUUGGUAUCGUUGGAAAGAUUAUUCAAUUUCCUACAAUUUGGUGGGUCUUGACCUGGAAAAUUCUAUGUAGAGUAAAAUUUAUGCUCGUUUGAAGUUGACUAAAGAAAUAUUCUUAUACGAAAUUAAAUCGGUAAAGAUUAUUUUGAUUCGUCUAACAACUCGGAGUUAUUUGAGACCUUAAUAUGCAUCAAACUAACUCAUAAAGCUACCAAAGAACCAUAAUGUACUAUGCGUGAGCUUAAAAUAUGACUCUAGCAUUGUUUUGGAUUUUUUUGGGGUAUUACAUUAUCUCCCCCUUGGGAACAUUCAUUCUCGAAUUAGACUGAUUAAGCUCAAAACACUGAGGGAUUGAGAUUACAUGCUGAAUAUACAUGAUGAAAACGUGAGUACAUAAAUGAGUCUAAAAUAUGAUUCAUGACUGAACUGGUUCUUUGAAUGCAUGAUUGACAUGAGAAUGAUAUUCAGCUGAAACUGAGCACGAAAAAAGAUACAUUCUAAGAAGAGAAUUACCUUAAGCUGAGUCUGAGUUUGCUGAGAAAAGGUGAGGAUACUUAGUCCGCAUAUUUGCUUCUGCUUCCCAAGUAGCUCCCUCAACGGACUGAUUUCGCCAAAGAACUUUGACUAGGGAAACUCCUUUGUUCCUUAGUCAACGAACUUGUCGAUCAAGAAUUUUGACUGGAAUUUCCUUGUAGGAAAGACUAUUCUGAACAUCUACGUUCUCUAAGGGGAAAACUACAACUGGGUCUCCAAUAUACUUCUUCAACAAGGAGAUAUAGAAUACUGGGUGCAAUGAUGCUAAGUCUGCAGGCAACUCAAGCUCAUAAGCCACCUUUUCGAAAUGGCUCAAAAUCCUAUAGGACCAACAUAUCGGGGACUAAGCUUCUCUUUCUUACCAAACCUCUUUACUCCCUUCAUGCGAGAGAUCUUCUGAUAUACGAAAUCACCAAUUUCAAACUCAAGAUAUUUUCUCCUCACAUCUGCAUAUGAUUUCUGUUAGCUCUUGGCUACCUUAAGCCUCUCCCUGAUCAACUGUACAUUCUCUAAAGCAUCAAACACCAAGUCAGGACCUAUUAGUGAAGUUUCUCCUAAUUUAAACCAACCAAUUGGGGUUCUACAUCUCCUUCCAUAUAGAGCCUCAAAUGGAGCCAUCUGAAUACUGGAAUGAUAGUUGUUAUUGUACGUGAACUCAAUUAAAGUCUAUUGAUUAUCCUAACUGCCCUUAAAUUCGACUACACACGCUCUCAAUAUAUCCUCAAGGGUCUGAAUGGUCCUUUCUUGUUGACCAUUUGUCUGAGGGUAGAAGGUGUACUAAGGUGAACUUGGGUGCCGAGACCCUUCUGAAAAGCUUUCCAAAAGUGAGAGGUAAACUGAGUACCUCUAUCUGAGAUGAUAGAUAAUGGAAUACUGUGCAACCUAACCAACUCUCUGAGAUAGAGCUUCGCAUAGUCCUCGGUAGAAUAAGCAGUAUGGACUGGCAAAAAAUGAGCUGAUUUGGUCAUUCUAUCCACAAUGACCUAAAUCAAAUCGUGUUGCUGAUGAGUACGAGGCAAACCUGUCACAAAAUCCAUGUUCGCUUCCUCCCACUUCUAUGUAAGAAUGUUGAACUCUUGAAUAGAACCACUAGGCUUCUAAUGCUAAAUAUUAACCUACUGAUAUGUGGAGCACUUAGCUACAAACUCUGCAAUAUCUCUCUUCAUCCCACUCUACCAAUAGAUUUCCCGCAGAUCGUGGUACAUCUUCGUGGCCCCUGGAUGAAUAGAGUAACGCGUACCAUGUGCUUCUGCAAGAAUUCUUUAUCUCAACUCAUCAGAACAUGGCACACAUAGUCUACCAUGGCAAUGCAACACACCAUAUCUCCCUUGGGAGAAAACCUCUACUUUCUGAUCUCUGACUGACUCCUUCAGCUUCACUAGACUAGGAUCCCUAUCUUGGUUUUCUUUCACUUUGGCAACCAAGGAAGAUUCCAAACUACUCUGAACCCAAACACUACCCUCAGCCAAAUCAAACAAACGAACACCUAAUCUGUCAAGGUGAUGAACUUCCUGCACUAACUUAUUCUUAUCACCCUCGACAUGAGUAACACUACCCAUAGACAAUCUACUUAGGGAAUCUGCCACUAUAUUGUCCUUGCUCGGAUGGUACAAAAUGCUUAUAUCAUAAUUCUUCAACAAUUCUAACCAUCUCCUCUGAUGUAGAGUUAAAUAUUUCUGUGAAAACACAUACUGCAAGCUCGUGUGAUUUGUGAACACUUUAACAUGCACCCCAUACAAAUAAUGCCUCCAACUUUGUAAGAAAAACACAACAACUGCUAACUCAAGAUCCUGAGUAGGGUAAUUCUUCUUAUGGAUCUUAAAUUGUCUAGAGGCAUAGGCCAUAACCUUACACUUCUGUAUCAAAACAUACCCUAAACCAACUCUAAAAGCAUCACAGUAUACAAUAAAUUCGUCUGAACCGUCUGGAAAUAUCAAAACUAGAGCUGAGGUGAGCCGAGUCUUCAACUCCUGAAAACUUUUCUCACAAGAAUCUGACCACUGAAACAUAAAUUUCUUCUGAGUUAAUCUGGACAUGGGGGAUGCAAUAGAUGAGAAUCCUUCAACAAAACACUGAUAAUAGCCAGCCAAACUCAAGAAACUCCUAAUAUCUGAUGGAGAGAUGGUUAUGAGCCAGUUUUUCACCGCCUUGAUCUUUUAAGGAUCCACUCUAAUUCCAUCACCGGAAAUAAUAUGGCCAAGGAAAGCUAUGAAUCUUAUUCAGAAUUUGCACUUACUAAAUUUAGAGAACAACUGAUGGGCCCUAAGAGUCUGCAAUACUAUUCUUAGAUGGUCUGCAUGAUUAUUUUCAUUACGGGAGUAGAAUAGGAUGUCAUCAAUGAAGAUUAUGAUGAACAUGUCCAAGUACUGCUUGAACACUCAGUUCAUCAAGUCCAUAAAGGCUGCUGGGGCAUUCGUGAGACCGAAGGACAUGACUAGAAACUUGAAGUGACCAUAUCGAGUUUUGAAAGCUAUUUUCGAAAUAUUACAUUCUCUAAGUUGAUGAUAUCUGGACCUGAGGUCUAUCUUAGAAACCCUAAAGUUGGUUGAACAAUUCAUCAGUUUUGGGAAGUGGGUACUUGUUUUUUAUUGUGACUUUGUUCAACUGAUGGUAGUUGAUACACAUCCUAAGAGAACCGUCUUUCUUUCACGCUAAUAGAACUAGUGCGCCCCACGGGGAAACACUAGGCUGGAUGAAUCCCUUAUCUAGGAUAUCUUUCAAUUGCUCCUGUAAUUCUUUGAGUUCAGCUAGAGCCAUUCUGUAUGGCAGAAUAGAGAUAGGCUGAGUAUCUAGAAGAAAGUCUAUUCUGAAGUCAAUUUCUCUUUCGGGAGGAACUCCAGGAAGAUCUUCAGGGAACAUAUUUGGAAAUUCCCUCACUACUAAAACUGACUAAAGAUUAAGAGUCUCAAAAUUUGAGUCUUUGACUCGGACAAGAUGGUAAAUACACCCCUUGGAUAUAAUUCUUCUCGCUCUAAGGUAUGAAAUAAGUUGACCCUUAAGCGCUGUGGUACUACCCCUCCAUUCAAGGACUGGUUCAUUUUGAAACUGAAAAUGGACUACUCUAUUUCUACAAUCAACUAAAGCAUUACAUAAGUGGAGCCAAUCCAUACAGAGAAUGACGUCAAAAUCCAUCAUCUCUAGCUUUACAAGAUCUACUGAAGUAACUUUCUAAGACACCAUAAUCGGACAGUUCUUGUAUACCCUUCGGGAUAUAAUAGACUUACCCACUGUGGUAGAGACUGAGAAAGGAUCUACUAAGAUUUUGGGACUAACUCUAAAGUUGACAACUAUAUAAGGAGUUACGAAAGACAGAGAAGCUCCAGGAUCUAACAAAGCAUAAACAUGUAAAUGAUAGAUUUGUAACAUACUAGUAACUAUAUCAGAAGAACUUUCCUGAUCCUGUCGGGACUGGAGUGCAUAGAACCUAUUUGGGCGCUGCCUACUCGUGGCACUGGAAGCGGCACCCUGCUAAGAUGGGUGACCGGACUGAAUUGGAGGAUGAUUAUGAUGACUUUGUAAACCCACCUGAGGGUACUCCCUGAUUCUAUGGACUGGCUUACCGCACCCGAAACACACAUCACUGUCGGCUCUAUAAACACCCUGAUGGUUUUACUACAUUUCUGACAAAGAGGAUUUGUUUGAGCAUUGUUUACACUACCCUAAGUUUUAGAGACUAACGCCCUAUCCCUAUUGACAUUCCUAAACUUGGGCAUCGGUUCACUAGCUGAAGAUGGAGUUGAGACUAAAGAUUUUAGGUGAAACUGAGGACGGUUACCUCCUUCUGACUUCAGUUGAGUAAAAUUGAAACUACUUGUUCUAGCCCUCUUGCUCUUCCUCUCUUUCUCUUUAGUCUUCUAUUCCUCAAUUUUUUGAUCAUGGACCAUCAACCUAGAUAAGUCAAUCUCCUUAAUCAGCAUUGUGGUCCUACACUCCUUAACCACACUGUCAGAUACGCCCAACACGAAUUUACUCAUUUUAGACCUACUGUCAGCUACCACAUGAGAAGCAUACCUGGCCAACUGAGUAAACUUAAGGGAAUACUCUUUCACACUCAUGUUUCCCUGCCUCAGGUUGAUAAACUCUAAUACCUUAGCCUCUUUCAACUCUAACGGAAAGAACCUAGAUAAGAAAGCAGUAGCAAACUCUUCCCAUUCUAUCGGUCCUACGUUCGUUUCUCUCUCUACUUUCCACUACUUAAAAUAUGUAUGAGCUAUAUCUUGUAACUGAUAGGCAGCUAACUCAUCACUCUCGCUAUCAGUUACCCCCAUAAUAUUUUUUACCUUUUGCACCAUAUUAAGGAAUUUUUGUGGGUCUUCUUCAGACUUAGACCCUAAAAAUAAAAGAGGGUUCAUUCGGGUGAAGUCCCAAAUUCUAGCUGCAGCAGUAUUGGCUACUGGGUUGUCCUGAACAGCAGUUGGUCAAACAUUCUGAGCUACCACGAAAUGGGCUAAGGUGGUGAAUACAGCUCUAAAUUCUGCGUGAGAAAUGUGCUCAUUAAAGGGAUCUUCCUGAAUGGGCGGAGGUGCCAGAUAGUUCCCAGUUCUUCUUCCAUUAGUCUUUCUGGGAGGCAUGUUUUGUAAACGAAAGGGAAAAUUGGAUCAGACAGAGAGUAUAACUUGAGCUCAUGCUCACUUGCACGAUAUAAAUACUGAAAAAAAGGAAAUUUUCCUAAACACCUCAUAGCCUCUUUCCCAUAAGUGUGGCACGCUACACACCUAUGCACAAGACUCUACUUGACGCAGCUUUCAGACUCCCUAGGACACUUUAUAACCUUAGGCUCUGAUACCAAUUUUGUAACACCCUAAGACUAUACCCUAGGUGCCACACGGUGCUUACGACCUUGAAGGACCACAAGCUAACCCAGACUGGUACCUACUAUGAGCACUGAAUAAUAUUUAUGAAACAUAUGUGGAAGUAAAACUGAUAGUGCCAUAAGGUUCAUAAUACUGAAUCAAAACUGAAUACAUCUAUAGAAUAACUGUUAACUGAUAAUGUUUGAAAGCCUCUAAACAUCUGAGAUAAAAGAAUUGAUAGGACAGGGCCCAACUAACUCACAACUGAUGUCUGAAAUAACUAAAGUACUAAAAUAAUAUAAUGGCUAAAUAAAUAUCGUAUCCCCAAUGGAUGAGGACUCACUACUAUAGUUGCGAUGGAUAGACUGAUGUGGCUAAGUACGAUCAAGAAUUCGAGCAUCCAAACCUAUGAUAUGAGACAUCAUAGCGCAAAGAGUAUGCGUUAGUACUUUGAAUGUACUGGUAUACUAGGUGAGGUUAGGCUGAUAUGCAUGGAUUUAUAUGCAUGACAUAGUAACUGACUGAAUGUACAUCAUGAAGUAACUGGAUGAGAGUACAUGCAAAAUUGCAACUACUGAACAUAUUAAAAAUGCAAUACUAUGCAUAUAGGUGUACAUCGUGUAUCUGAGAUUCUACUGAAUCUGAGUACUAAAUUUUGAUGGCUAGGUAACUGAUAACUAAUAACCAUGGUUUUGUAGAAUUGACUGAGUUCUUUCCUGAUUACUGAGACUGAAACUGUAACUAUGAGAGUGUUCAUCUAACCGACAUACCCCAAUUACAGACUAAACUGGGGUCCAACCUGUGACCCCAAUUGGAAGGAUGUUAGCACCUUGCCAUGGGAUACUAACAAUGUUGUGUCAACCCUAAUCUAGCAAGAAUACCCAUGAAAUAUAUAUAUGAUUGCGUCAACCUUAGUCUAGCAGGAGGACGACUUACCCUACGCUGGCUACAUAGUUCUGUAACUCAGGGAUUGCUAAUAAAAGUCAAACCCUAUACUGACAGGAAUGACCCCAUCCCUGGGUUCGCUCGGUGCUGAAUCCUACUUUCAACUAAUCGACAUAGAUCACUAGACUGUACUAAGCUUAACUGAACUCACAUUGAUUCUAUCAACUAUCUGAAUGUGACUGUUAGGGAUACUACGAGAUCAUUCUACUACGACUGGAAACUAAGUAAGCAGCUAAAUUUUGGGUAUACAAUACCCCCAUGACUCAAUAGCAUAAAUAAAGGAACUAUAUCACAAGUUUAAAGCAUUACAAUUAAGAUGUCAUGCACAAUUCAUUCACAUAGGCAUUUUAUCAAACACUUUGGGAGAAUGGUUCUUGAACAUGAGGAAAAUAACAUGGGAUUAUCACGAUUAUAGCAUUCAAUUCACAAUUCAUGAAUUAUGACAAGAGGAGUACAUGAAUCAACAAACAUACUAGUUUAUUUACUUGAAAUUCAUAAUCUUCUUGGUCUAAAAACCAUAAAAUCAACACAUGCAUGAACACAAUCCAAUUUAAGAAUAUAAAUCAUAAUUUAAAUCUUGAAAAGGGGGUUCUUGAACUCCAAGGGUGGAAAGAAAUCCAAGGAUGAACACCAAACAUACCUGAGUAGUUGAAUUCUUGAAGUUUCUUUGGAAUUGAUCUUGAAUCUUGAAGGCUAGGGUUUUCUAUUUGAGAGAGAAUGUUCUUGAUUUGAGAAAAUUUGAAUAAAAUAAUGACUAAUUAGGUUAUUGGAUCUUUAAUCUCGUGUUUUGGACUAAUUAGGGUCAUGGAAAAAGACCCAACUACCCCUAAAAAGAAUUAAAUUUGUCACUGAAAAUUUCAAAUUUCGCCAUCACCGUGAUGCGGCACCAUCGCGGUAAGCCACUGGAUUUUGAAUGCAUGUGUAUCCCAUGGACAAGUGUGAAUAUGCACUUUGAAGCGACGCGGUGGGAUCGCGUUGUGUCUCUAGAAAUUGACGAGUAUGAACUGGCACUCCUUCGCAACGCGAUGCUUAUUGCGGUGCUAACUGAAAAAUGCCAAUUAGGAACUGAAACUUCACCGCGAUAUGGUACUAUCACGGUGAUUCAUUAAAAACUGACGAGUGUCAUUCUUGGGGUCACUGCGACGCGGUAUUGCUCGUAUUGAGCUACUGAUUUCACUAAAAGUGUCAUAACUUCUCAUCCGAGUAUCAGAUUUAGGAGAAUUUAGUAUCGUUGAAAAGCUUAUUCAAUUUCCUACAGUUUGGUAGGUAUUAAGAUAAAAAUUCUAUGUAGAGCAAAAGUUAUGCUUGUUUGAAGUUGAUUAUAGCAACAUUCUUAUACGAAAUUAAAUCAAUAAGGAUUAUUUUGAUUCGUCUAAUAGCUGGGAGUUAUUUGAGACCUUAAUAUGCAUUAGACUAACUUAUAAAGCUACCAAAGAACCAUAAUGUACUGCGUGUGAGCUUGAAACAUUACUCUAGCAUUGGCUUGGAUUUUUUUUGGGGUAUUACACUUAGACCAUGUGCUUUCAAGAAACAACUUACGUCCCAUGGGCAAGUGUCGACACUAUCACAUUGUGUUUUGAUUUAUGAGACGUUUUAUAACCCUUGCCUAAGAGGCAAGACUUAACCUAAGGAAUUUCAAACAAUAAGUUAUGCCCCGUGGGUAAGAGUUAACACUAUCAUCUUAUGUUUUGAUUUAUGGGUUAUUUUAUAACUCUUCAUUUAGAGGCAAGACUUAGCCUAAAGACUUUUAAGAAACAAAUUACAACUCGUUGACAAGAGUUGAUACUACCACAUUGUGUCUUAAUUUGUGAGAUAGUUAUGAAUCUAGGACUUUCAAAUAAUAAGUUAUGACCCAUGGGUAAGGGUUGACGCUACCACAUUAUGUCUUGAUUUAUGAGAUCUUCUAUAAUUCAUGCCUUAGAGGUACGACUUAGUCCAAGGACUUUCACACAGCAAGUUACACCCCAUGGGCAAGAGUUAACACUAUCACAUCGUGUCUUGAUAUAUGAAAUAUUCUAUAACUCUUGUAUUAGAGGCAAGACUUGUCCCACAAGUUAUGCCCCAUAGGCAAGAGUUGACACUACUAUAUUGUGUCUUGAUUUAUGAGAUGCUCUAUUAGUCUUUCCUCUAAGACAAGAUUUAGCCCAAGAACACACCCCGCGCAAAAAAAAGUUACGCCCAAUGGGCAAGUGUUGACACUACCAUAUUGUGUCUUUAUUUAUGAGAUGUUCUAUAACUCUUGUAUUAGAGGCAAGACUUAACUAAAAAAAUUUCAAACAAGAAGUUAUUCUCCAUGAGCAAGACUUGACACAACCACAUUGCAUCAUAAUUUAUGACAUGUUCUAUAACUUUGACCUUUAUCUCAAAGGACUUCCAAACAACAAGUCAUGCCCUUAAAUUUACUUUGUGUUAAAGAAAGAAGAUCCCUUUGUGGAUUAUCCAACUUUCUAUUUAUUAGCAAAAUAUAAUAAAAAUUGAGAAAUAGAGAAAGAAAAAAAAAGAUUGAGGAAUGAAGAAAAAGAUGAGAAGAAAAAAAUAAAAGUUAAGAAAAAACGAAGAAUAAAAAAACAAAAAUUGAGAAAAACAAAAAUGACAACAAAAAAAAAUAAAAAUAAAGUUGGAGAAAAAAUAAAGAGAAAUGAUAAAAACAAAAAAGAAAAGAAAAAUAAAGGAUGAGACAAAUGAAUUUGAAAAAAAAAAAAGAGAGAGAAUGAUGAAAUAGAUAAUAUUUGAGGAAAAGGGUAAAAAGAGAAAAAAAAAAAAGUAAAAAAUAAUGUUGAGACAUGAAUCAAAGCAAGAGAAAUUAAGAAAAAAAUAAAAAUAAAAGUGAAAAAAAAUAAAAGUUGAGAGAUUAAUGAGUAUGAAAAGUUUAAAAAUAUUUGAGAUUUAUAGGAACAAAAAUGUAGUCGUACUAUACAUAAAAAAAGGGAGACUAGUCCUUAAAGAUUUAUUUUAAAGGGGACAAAAAAAUAAAGUCACCAUCCCAUGUAAUUUCCUCACCGGAUAUCAGGUGAAAAAAAAAAAAGCAAAAUUUCACAUAUAGACAACUUGGACUCCUCUUAACUAACUUCUUAUGGUCUAAGUUUUACUAAUUACAUUCUAUAGACAUUAGUUAGUGACCAAAUACAUUUAGGACUCAUUUAUACGAUACAAUUAAUAUUAAUUUAAAAGAGAAGGAAGAGUAAUUAAUGCCCAUUAUUAUCUCCAACUUCUCCCAAUAUUCUUUUUUUAUACAACAAAAACUACUGGUUAUUUUCCUACAUUCCAUGAUUGUUAUUCUCCUUUCAUAAUUGAUCAUUUUUAGUACAAAUGUACACAAAUCAAUUAUACUUUAUACAACUGAAUUUUAACUAGAUGUAUAUUUACAAUUGUAUAUACAAACACAUUAGAAUUUUAUAUUUAUGCAUAAUGUAUAAUAUAUACUUAUGUAGAUCAAAAAUACAUUCUAUAAACGUAUAAUAUAAUACAUAUACAAUUAAAAAAUAAAUAUAUGCAUAUGAGUCAAGCACAUUUGUAUAUUAGGAUCCUAAUGCGUUGAUACUCAUUCUAACAUGUGAUACACAAUGUAUAAAAAUCAACGUAUGUAUACAGAAAUAAUUACACUUAUAUGCGUAUGUAUAUAUACAAAUAUAGAACAGAUGUAUACACAUAUGCAUAAUGUGUAUAUGAACGAACACAUAACAAAUAUAUAUAAAUAUGCAUAUAGUACAGAACAAACUUAUAUACAUAUAAGUUAUAUAAAAAUAGGGAAAGUCAUGAUUUCCACCUCAAACUAUACACAAAAAGUCUAGGUCACAUCCAAACUAUCAUAGUGACCUAUUACACACCUAUACUAUAUAAAAGUGAAACUAUUACCUCCCCACCAAUUUUCAAGCGUAUUUCUUACACUCAAUUUAGGCACGUCCAGCCUUUUGAAACUCAAAAAUAAACUUUCAAAAAAAUUUAAAAAUUAUAACUUUUAAUUCUCUAUGGAUAUAUUCAACAAUAUCCUCCAUUUAAAUCAAUUUGGGGCUCCAAACUAAAGAACCCUAAUUCCCAAAUUUGUCAUCCAAAAAUGAAACCGAAGAUCAUUUGUUUGAAGAAUUGGUAACUAAAUCUUUUUAAUCAUUCGAUUUCUUGCUAUAUUGCGAGAAAAUAUAGUUCUUUUGUCUUAAUUUUGUUGAAAUUUUGAUAAUUAUUUCUUUCCUCAAGUGUUUGUUCAACCUCUCUUAAAGAUUAUUUUCUUAAUCAAGUUACUUUAAUGGCUAAGCUUAUUUCUUCUCUAUCUUUUUUAAUGGUGAUUGAUAACUGAACAUUGAGAUGAUCUGUCGAAGGUCCGUUAAAAGAAAAAAAAAAUAAUUUCAUAGAAGUGCUAAGAAAUUGGAUAGGAAAAUGAAUUAGUAUUUCUAUCUUUACUUAUGCACUUAUAUUUAAAUUACACGUCUUAAAUAUUUUAAAAUAUAUUAAAUAAUAAAUAAUACUUUAACAGGUAAAAUAAAUAUUAUUAGAUAGUAUUUAUUUUUGAUACAAUUAGCAAAUAAAAAUAAAUGAGAAAGUAUAUGUCAAAGUGUAGUGGACUAGUAGUAAUGUGCAAGUUAACGAGAAUUUUAUUUAUCACUUUGUGUGGUUUACCCUCUUACUACGAUACCUUUUACAUGUUUUUUUAUUCAAAAAAAAAUUUUCAUUUAGAUUAUAACUAGUGUACGUACCCUCGCGAUGCGUGGAUAAUAUUAAUUUUUUAAAAAAUUAUUUCAUAUUAAAAUGUCUUGUUUAAAUCAUGUAGGGUGAAAUAUUUGGGUUUUGUCGGAUUAGAAUUGGGUUAAAUUAGUUGGGUUGGAUUAGGUUUAUUUACGGGGCCAUUAAUUAAAUCAAAAAAUUAAAUGAAACACGUGGCAUCACCACAGUGCGAGUGGAGUACACUCCACUCAUUAAACUUGGGUAUGGGUGUCGCAGGGAGGUAAUAGUUUCACUUUUAUAUAGUAUAGGUGUGUAAUAGGUCACUAUGAUAGUUUGGGUGUGACCUAGACUUUUCGUGUAUAGUUUAAGGUGCAAACCAUGACUUUUCCCUAUAAAAAUAUACAUAUAUAGAUCAAAAACAUACAUCUAAUACAUACAUACAUAUAUACAUACAUACAUACAUACAUACAUACAUACAUAUAUAAAUAUAUACACACACACACACACAUACAUACAAAUGAAAAAGAUAUACAAUGAAUACCCACAUACAAAAAUCUACACAAAUCGAACUGAAUACAAUUAAAUGACCAAUACACAAUUACCAAAUUCACUAAAAUUGGAUCAAAUACCCAAUUAUGAAAAUAAUUCAUCAAGAUUUAUUCUGCGAAAUUGACAUUAAUAUACAAUUCGAUUUUCAAAUUAUACAUUUUAUUCUAUAAGAUUUUUAGAAAAUUAAGAUGAAGCAGAAACUUUACAUUUAAUCGAAGCUAUAGGUUCAAUAUUUCUUGUCAAUCAGUAAUCGGAGUUAUAGGUUCAAUACCUCUUGUCAAUCUCUUAUAUGAAUUUUUUUCAUCCAUUUGAUCAUGUUAAUUGAUAACUUGAAGAAAACCUAAAAAAAACAUCAAAUAGGAAAAAUUCCUUAGAAACUUGCAGACUAAUAGAGGAAGUAAAAGUUAUAGGGAAAAAAAAGAAAAUGCAAUGAUAUGCACGAAACCCUGCAAGAUUACUUCAAAAUCUUCAAUGAAUAUCCAAAUGGAAGUUUAUGAGGAAAAAUUGCGAAUGAAUUGAAAGAAAAAUUUUCUUUGAAAUUAUCUUUAAGUGAGAGAAUUGUAUAAUGGCUAAGUGGGAGAAGGAUGUAAAGGUUUCAGCCAUCAUAUUAACCAAUUAGAUAAGAGAGGCUGUUUGAAAAAUAAAUUAAUUAAGAGAAUCUUGUAUAUAUUUGCAUAUAAGGGCCCAUAUUAAAAAAAUUUAUAAAUCUAACAAAUAAUCAUUUAAGGUAAUUAUUUUAUUAAAAAUUACUCAUAACCACACCUUAAGUUUCUAUUAUUACUUAGAAUCUUAUCCAACUCAACUAAUUACAAAAAUCUCUUUUUACUCAAAAUAGUUGCUUCUUUUCUAAUACAUUUAAAAAAACCCACCCACAUCCCUUUAUUGUACCGCAAAUCAAGCCCAAAAAUCAGGAAAUAUAUCGCACAAUUUUCUUAACACCCAUUUUGAAUUUCCACCAUAUUCCCAUCUUCUUCAUCUACUUCAACAUUCAAGUUACAACUUCCAUUAACUUUCUUUUGAAUUUCCACCAUAUUCUCAUCUACUACUCAAUUAGAUCUAACAACUCCAUCGUUUCACCAUUAACUUUCUUUUUUAAUUUCCACCAUUUCAUUAUAAGAUGAUCAAUAUUGAUUUUCGUGAAAAUAGAUUGAAAUAUCAAAACUUUCUUCGGACAAAAUGGCUAUGAUAUUUAAGAAAAACUUUUGAUUGUUUUUAUUACAAUUUCUAUAAAUUAAUUUUCGUCCAUCGUCUGUUAGACUAUUAUGCAUCAAAAGAUAUAUUUUACUCUUCAGCAAUGUAUCAUAUAAGUUAAUUAUAUUUUUAUAACUUAAUGUAAAUUACAUAAUAUAUCAGAUAUUUUUAAAAAUAAGUCAAGUAUAAUGCAAACUUAAUUACAGUGAUGUAUCUCAACCAAAAUAAUUUAAUGUAUGAGAAACUUAAAUUAACAAUAUAAUAGUAGAUAUAAUAUUGUUGUAUUUGCAUAUAGAGUAAUGUAUUAUAGGAUAUUUAGAUUUUAAUAGAAUGUAUCAGGUAAUUUUUACACAUAUAAAGUAUUAAGCAAAUUAAAUAUAAUAAUGUAUUGGAAACCACAAAUAAAUGUAAUGUGUCUUGAAUUGUUGUUUAUCAUGAACUCAAUGUUAUUAAAUAAGAUAUUUGUUAUCAUAAUACAAUAUAUCAUAAGUUUUUUACAUAAUAGGAAAACUUAUGAUAUUUGUUAUCAUAAGUUAUUAAAUUAUGUAUAUUAUGUAAUUUAAACAACAAUUUCUUUAAUUAAGCGCAUUAAUUGCUCAACUGUAGGCUUAAUUAUGACUUCUUUUUAUUUUUAAUCAUAAUUAAAUGUUUAUUAAUAUAUCAUAAACUAAUGUAUCAUGACAUUAACUAAUGUAUCAUAUAUGAGAUUUUAUGUAAUUAUUAUAAAAGUAGGGAGAGAGAGUAAUUAGGUAGUAAAGUGUUGGUAUUUAUGUUCUUUACCCUACUAAAAAUUACUUAUAGCCACACUUUAAGUUUCUAUUAUUACUUAAAAUAUCAUACAACUAAAAUAAUUACAAAAAUCCUUAACCAUACCAGGUAAUUAAGAACUUAUUUUAUCAAUAGAAUGCAAUUUUCGCCCCAAAAAAAAAAUACAAAGGUAGAGAAAAAGACAGUUUUAAUUCUAUUGGGCCUUGUCCCACACCGGAAAAGGCAAGAAAAGAGAUGGGCCCACGCUGCUUUGCUGCGCAAAAAGUACAACACAAAAUGGCACUAUUUGGUCCCGGCGGGGCUCGAACCCGCGACCUUCGGCUCAUAAGACCAACGCUCUAACCAACUGAGCUACGGGACCUUCUUGCAGAGGUUUCUUUAUUUACUUUAUUUAUCACAAAGGUUUUGUUACAGUUGACUGCAAUUAUGUUCUAUAGAAUAAAAUUUUAUAAGGACUGCCAUCACUUCUCUUUCUAUUGCAAACUAGAGGUGCAUGACCCGUGUCAGCAUGGGUCUAACACUAUAAACAUUUUUUAGCACCAAAAUUCGAUAUUGAUGAGAUACAAACAUAAAUGUACAUUGAUUUAAUUAAAUAUUAUUAAUUUUUUAAUACAUAAAUGGCUUAUAAUAAUUAAUUAGAGGUAAUAUAGACAGACAUGUCAUCUAUUUUUGAUUAAAUAUUAUUAAUUUUUUAAUACAUAAAUGGCUUAUAAUAAUUAAUUAGAGGUAAUAUAGUAAAUUACGAAGCAAUUAGAGGUAAUAUAGACAGACAUGUCAUCUAUUUUUGAUUAAAUAUUAUUAAUUUUUUAAUACAUAAAUGGCUUAUAAUAAUUAAUUAGGGAUGAUAUAGUAAAAUCACGAUUAAAGCAGCUGAAACAAACGUCAUAAAUAUCUAUUUUUUAAUUAAAUAUUAUUNNNNNNNNNNNNNNNNNNNNNNNNNNNNNNNNNNNNNNNNNNNNNNNNNNNNNNNNNNNNNNNNNNNNNNNNNNNNNNNNNNNNNNNNNNNNNNNNNNNNNNNNNNNNNNNNNNNNNNNNNNNNNNNNNNNNNNNNNNNNNNNNNNNNNNNNNNNNNNNNNNNNNNNNNNNNNNNNNNNNNNNNNNNNNNNNNNNNNNNNNNNNNNNNNNNNNNNNNNNNNNNNNNNNNNNNNNNNNNNNNNNNNNNNNNNNNNNNNNNNNNNNNNNNNNNNNNNNNNNNNNNNNNNNNNNNNNNNNNNNNNNNNNNNNNNNNNNNNNNNNNNNNNNNNNNNNNNNNNNNNNNNNNNNNNNNNNNNNNNNNNNNNNNNNNNNNNNNNNNNNNNNNNNNNNNNNNNNNNNNNNNNNNNNNNNNNNNNNNNNNNNNNNNNNNNNNNNNNNNNNNNNNNNNNNNNNNNNNNNNNNNNNNNNNNNNNNNNNNNNNNNNNNNNNNNNNNNNNNNNNNNNNNNNNNNNNNNNNNNNNNNNNNNNNUUUUAAUUAAAUAUUAUUAAUUCUAAUAUAUAAAUGACUUAUAAUAAUUAAUUAUUGCAUGACCCGUGUAGCACAAGCCCAACACUAUAAACAUUUUUAGCACCAAAAUUCGAUAUUGAUGAGGUAUAAACAUAAAUGUACAUUAAUUUAAUUAAAUAUUCUUAAUUCUAAUAUAUAAAUGACUUAUAACAAUUAAUUAGGGGUAAUAUAGUAAAUCACGGAGCAAUUAGGGGUAAGAUAGGCGGACAUGUCAUCUAUUUUUUUAAUUAAAUAUUAUUUUUUUAAUACAUAAAUGACUUAUAAUUAAUUAGGGAUGAUAUAGUAAAUCACGGUUAAAGCAGCUAAAACCGUCAUAAAUAUCUAUUUUUUAAAAUUAAAUAUUAUUAAUUCUAAUAUAAAAAUAACUUAUAAUAAUAAAUUAGGGGUAAUAUAGUAAAUCACAGAGCAAUUAGUAUAAAUAUGGUAAAUAUAUAUUGUUGCCAUUAUGUGGGACACGGUUUAUACUAAAUAGGGGGUAAUAUAGUAAAUGAGAGGUGAUCGAAUACAGUAAAAAAAUAUUAUUAAUUCUAAUAUAUAAAUGACUUAUAAUAAUUAAUUAGGGGUAAUAUAGUAAAUCACGGAGAAAUUAGGAGUAAUCUAGGCGGACAUGUCAUCUAUUUUUUUUAAUUAAAUAUUAUUAACUUUUUAAUACAUAAAUGACUUAUAAUAAUUAAUUAUGGAUGAUAUAGUAAAAUCACGAUUAAAGCAGCUGAAACAAAUGUCAUAAAUAUCUAUUUUAUUGUUGCCAUUACGUGGGACAUGGUUUAUACUAAAUAGGGAUAGGGAGUAAUAUAGUAAAUGAGAGGUGGCCAAAACCACCUUUUCUGUUAUAUAGAAAAGUGGGUGCUCCAAAGUGAGCAUCGAUCACAGGAAAUUGCAUGUCAUAGAUCCAAAUAUGGGUGACUUUAGAUAUUAGACCCUAUUGUUUUUAAAAAAUAAUCUUCUUUACCUUUUAAGUAUAGUACAAGUACCAUUUUACCCCUGUACACCUCAAAUAUAUUUUUAAAACUUUCCAUACUUAUUUGUCUCUUAUAAAUAAAGACAUAAUGUGGUAGUAUCAGCUCUUGCCCGUGGGGCAUAAUUUAUUAUUUGAAAGUCCUUGAGCAAAGUCUUGCCUCUAAAGCAAGAGUUGUAGAUGGGGCAUAAUUUAUUAUUUGAAAGUCCUUGAACUAAGUCUUGCCGUUUUCAUUUUUUAUUUUUUCUUUAAUUUAUUAUUUUAUUUUUUAUUAUUUUCACUUUUUUAUUUUUUCUUUAAUUUUAUUAUUUUCACUUUUCAUUUUUUUUCUUUAAUUUUAUUUUCAUGUUUUAAUUCAUUUGUCUCAAACUUUAUUUUUUUUUUGUUUUCUUUUUUUCUCAAACAUUAUCUAUUUCUUUUUUAAUUCAUUUUUCUUUAACCUUUAUUUUUCUUUUAUUUUUGGUUUUUAUCACUUCUCUUUUUUUUUCCUCAUUUUUCUUAAACUUUAUUUUUAUUUUUUCCUCUCAUUUUUAUUUUUCUCAAUUUUUUAAAUUCUUUACUUUUUUCUUAAUCUUUAUUUUUUUCUUGCCUUUUUUUUGUCUCAAUCUCUUUUUUUUUUAUUUCUCUAUUUUAUUUGAUCAUUUUUUUUAGUUCUCUUUUUUUCCCUCAUUUUCUCAAACUUUAUUUUUAUUUUUCUCAAUUUUUUAAAUUUUUCGCUUUUUUCUUAAUCUCUAUUUUUUGCUUUCCUUUUUUUUUUUUCUCAAUUUUUUUUAUUUCUCUAUUUUAUUUGAUCGGUUUUUUUUUUCAACUUCUAUUAUAUUUUGUUAAUAAAUAAAAAAUUGGAUAAUCCGCAAAGGAAUCUUCAUUUUUUGACAUCAAAGCAAAUUUAAGGGCAUGAAUUUUUGUUACGAAGUUCUUUGAAAAUUCUUGAGAUAAAUCGUGUAUUUAAGGUGAGAAUUGUAGAAUAUCUCAUAAAUAAAGACAUAACGUGAUAGUGUCAACUCUUGACUGUGGGGCAUAAUUUAUUAUUUGAAAUUCCUUGAGCUAAGUCUUGUCUCUAAGGCAAGAGUUGUAAAACAUCUCAUAAAUGAAGACAUAACGUGGUAGUGUCAACUCUUGCUCAUGUGGCAUAAUUUGUAGGUUAAAGUCUUUGAGCUAAGUCUUGCCUCUAAGGCAAUAGUUGUAGAACAUCUCAUAAAUGAAAACAUAACGUGGUGGAGUCAACUCUUGCCCGUGGGACAUAAUUUGUUGCUUGAAAGUCCUUAAGCUAAGUCUUAUCUCUAAGGCAAUAGUUUUAGAACAUCUCAUAAAUCAAAAUACAAUGUGGUAGUACUCUUUUUUUUAAUUUCUCUAUUUUGUUUGAUCAUUUUUUUCUUGUUCUAUGAAAAUUCUUGAGAUAAGUCGUGUCUCUAAGGCGAGAGUUGUAAAAUAUCUUAUAAAUAAAGACAUAAUGUGGUAGUAUCAGCUCUUGCCCGUGGGGCAUAAUUUAUUAUUUGAAAGUCCUUGAGCAAAGUCUUGCCUCUAAAGCAAGAGUUGUAGAUGGGGCAUAAUUUAUUAUUUGAAAGUCCUUGAACUAAGUCUUGCCUCUAAGGCAAGAGUUGUAGAACAUCCCAUAAAUAAAGACAUAACGUAGUAGUGUCAACUCUUGCCCGUGGGACAUAAUUUGUAGUUUGAAAGUCCUUGAGCCAAGUCUUGCCUCUAAGGCAAUAGUUAUAGAACAUCUCAUAAAUGAAAAUAUAACAUGGUAGAGUUAACUCUUGCUCGUGGGGCAUAAUUUGUAGUUUAAAAGUCCUUGAGCCAAGUCUUGCCUCUAAGGCAAUAGUUAUAGAACAUCUCAUAAAUGAAAAUAUAACAUGGUAGAGUUAACUCUUGCCCGUGGGGCAUAAUUUGUAGUUUGAAAGUCCUUGAGUCAAAUUUUGCCUCUAAGGCAAUAGUUGUAGAACAUCUCAUAAAUGAAAACAUAAUGUGGUAGAGUCAAUUCUUGCUUGUGGGUCAUACUUUGUUGUUUAAAAGUACUUGAGCUAAGUCUUACCUUUAAGGCAAUAGUUGUAGAGCAUCUCAUAAAUGAAAUAUAACGUGGUAGAGUCAACUCUUGCCCGUGGGGCAUAAUUUGUAGUUUGAAAGUCCUUGAGCUAAGUCUUGCCUCUAAGGCAAUAGUUGUAGAACAUCUCAUAAAUGAAAACAUAACGUGGUAGAGUCAACUAUUGCCCGUGGGGCAUAAUUUGUUGUUUGAAAGUCCUUGAGUUAAGUCUUGCCUCUAAGACAAUAGUUGUAGAACAUCUCAUAAAUGAAAACAUAAUGUGGUAGAGUCAACUCUUGCCCAAGCCUUGUCUCUACAAUGUAGUAGUGUCAACUCUUACCCAUGAAACGUAGCUUAUUGUUCGAAAGUCGUAAAUCUUACCUGUAUAAUGUGAUAGUAUCAACUCUUACUCAGGAGAUGUAACUUGAAUGGAAGAAAUCGAAGAAAAGAACAAAAAUGAUAAAAAAUACGAAAAAGGAAGAAAAUGAAGAAAAAUAUCAAAAAAAUAAAAAUCAAAGAAAAUGUAGAAGUUGAGAGAGAACAAUAAAAAAAUAAAGGAUGAUAAAAAAAAGAAAUAUUAAAUAAAAAUAAAGGUCGAGAAAAAUUUAAAAAGAAAAAAAAAUAAUAAAAAUCAAAGAAAAAUAAAAAAAAAUGGUUUUUUUUAUAAAAGUAGACGUUGAAAGGUGUAAAGAAAAAAAGUAAGGGUUGAGAAAAACUAAAAAGAAUAAAAAAAAAAAAAGAGGAAAGAAAAAAAAAAAAUGAAAGUAAAAUAAAAAAAAAUAAUAUAAAAUGAAAAAGAAAAAAAAAGUUGAGAGGAAAAAAGUAAGGGUUGAGAAAAUUAAAAAUAAAAAUAAAAAAUAAAAAAUAUAAAUCAAAGUAAAAUUAAAAAGAGAAAAAAAAUAAAAGUUGAAAGAUAUAAAUAUGGAGUUGUUAUCCAUUAUGAGGAUCAUUUAUGUAAUUUACUCCAUUGAUCAGGGGUAAUUUUAUCUAAAAAAAAAUAUUAGUUAAUAGGUAAAGGUUAUUUAAGAAAGCUUUUUUAUUUGGGGCUAAAAUUUGAAAGUCACCUUAAUUUGGACCUAUUUUUGAGAUUCACCCAUCGAUCAUCAUUAAAGAAUACAAUUUGACAAUUAAACAUUAUAUAUUAGACAAAAAUUAGGAUCCAGCAAAUGAGUUUACCAUAUCUAUAAAGAACUAAAGGAGUCCUUUGAUUAUUGGGAUGUGAUAGACAAGAAUAUUUCAUGUAAGUAGCUAUUUCGCCUUUACUAUUUAGUUAAUUCCACCAUUUUAGUAUGUUUUAUGAGAUUGUUAUCCCUUAUUCGACUAACCGCAGGAUAAAAUAUGUUUUAUCGAGAGAUUAUUACCCCUUGUCCCAACGAAUCAAGCAUUAAAUGGUGGCAUAUACAUUUAUUUCUUUAAAGUUGGAAGAAGAAUUACCAAAGUUCAAUCACAUUUCAACAUUAGCACUUUCUAAUUUGAUCUCAGCCACAAACCUUUAUAGCACAAAAGAGCUUGAAAGCUAGUGAAUAAGUCUAUCCUUCUGAAAUUGUAUCGUUGUUAUUAAAACAGUCCAUAAAUGUACUAAGCUUUAACUCUGGGAUGUGGAGAAGGAACGAACUAUAUUGAAACUCAUAUACGCAACUUCACCUAGCCUUUUCGCACCUUAGAUGAAGUUGAAGAGAGGCCUCUCAAUUCGUUCAAAGACAUUACAGACGGUCUAGUGCUUCUUGAGUUCACUCAUUGAAUUCUAUAAAAGCUCAUCAACCUGUUUGCGGGAUGAUGGAGGCAAUGCCACAACAUAUAGCUAGUUUAACAGAAUCAAUUAAUUUUUUCAGAUAAGAAUGCGAAAGAACCACCCCCAUCAAAUAGUGGUGACUUUUACUCUGACUCCGUUUGAAUAUUAUGUAUUAAUAAAAACUUCUUAAUUGUUGCGAUCUAAUUCUUAACUUUAUAAUUACCGUUUGGAGCUUGGCAAUUCAUGUUUUUCAACGUUAGCUGGAACUAAAAUGGAAGUUCAAGAAGGAAACAAAACCAUGGGAAUGUUCAAAACUUGACAAAAAUUGCAAGCUAUACAAGCUUAUCUAUGGGAAAUCAAUCCUAAUCUCCUCUAAAAUUUUUGUUAUGUAGUUAAAAGAAAUGCAACUUUUGCAAGGUAAAGUUAUGCGGGGAAGUGCGGGUCGAAGUCUUUACAAGUUUACACACACAUAUACCUGAUACUGCAAUCUUCAGUGUGUGAAUGCAUGAGUGAUAAAUUAUUAAUCAAGAUUAAUUAAUAUAUAAUUUAAAAUUAGUUCAGUAUAACCACCCGAUGUUGGGAAGUUUUUAUCGAUGAUAAUUAUCCCUGGAUAUAUAGAGUCGACCAAAAAAAAAAAAAAAGUUCAACUGUUGCUAGGCACACUAGAAAGUUAAAAACAGUUUAAAUGCACAGCUUUACUUAAACGAUGAAAACAACAAAUUUAACAUAAACUAUGUCACAAAUGAAAAUCAACAAAUUAAACAACAAAACGAUGCCUUUCAAAUGAAAAUCAAACAAAAUGCUACAAAAUCUCCAUUGGAAUCUUGUGACCAAGGUUUUUUUUCCUUUUUUUCGUUUCCUUCGCUACCAAAGGUUGACCGGAGGUAAGCACGCAACAGCUGCUACUUGAGGUAGUCUCUUGAGAAAGAUCAGCUUCAGACUUCCACAUUUGAUUUGACAGUCUAUAUCAUCAUCACACGUACAAGAUCAAACUAUGUUUCCGAAUCCACAAAUCGUCUGGCUACUUCACAAAAAUGCAUCUCUAAGACGAAACCAAUGUCUGCAUCUUUUUAGUUCACGGGGAAGUGAUUCAUAUCACACUGAUGCCGAAUCUGGGCUAGUGAUAGCUAGUGAUAUCCUCUUCCUCUUCCCCUUCCGCGGAAACCCCUUCCCCUGCCUCUACCUCUUGAAAAUCUCCCUCCAUAUGAUAGUCCUUGAAAAGCUCUAUCAACGAGCUGGUUCUGCAUGCUACCACCUCCCCGACCCUUCUUUGGUCCAGAACUACUGGAACCAUUAAUAGCACCAGCGGGUCGUUUUAUGCUGUGGAUAAAGACGGGGCAAAACUAAGGUAAGUUGAGAAAAAGUAUAUGAAAGGGCAAGGAAUGACCAUCCUAAAAGAACAUAAACCUCUGCUAAGUCUUGCAUAUUGAAUGAGAUUUUGAGUGAAUAACAGCAAUAACAGAUGGUAAAUAAUAAACGACAGAGGUAAUUAAAAAAAAAUGGGGUUCAAAACAAUUAACUUUCAAGACAUAAAAGCAUCUUGAGAUGAUAGACAAACAGUAAGGCAAGAAAACCUUUCCUUUUUUUACUAGUCUUGGGUUAUGUGUUUGUGCUCUAUUAAAGUAGUGGUAGAAUAGUUUAGCAUGACAGAAAUCAUAAACAAUUGUAAAAUGUUUUCAAAUGAUUGAAUAACUUAAAAACGUGCAUCAAAGUGGCUACAAAGAAAACAUAGAAUUCCACAAUAACUAGACGCUUAUUCUGGAGAUAGAAGCUAGCUUUUCAAACCACUAUAAACGUGCUAUAACUGCAAAUCAAUUGGAAUGAAAGGUACGUUGGGCCACUAUGCAUGGGCUGAAGUAAGACUUGCCUAUUAACAAUGAAACCUCUGGUUUGAGUUGUAUCACUAUAAGUUGAUUGAAUCCAGAUCAAUGUAAUACUAAAGCAGGGGUGGAGUUUAUACUAAACAUCUCAAUUCACUAGUGUGAAAUAUAUCACUAUGCAGCGAGUUAAUUAUCCAUGCAGCAAUAUUAAUUAUGAGACCAGACAAGUUGGAUAAACUAGUUAACCACACCCUCUUUCUGUUUAGUAGUUCAAACAAUAACAUACCCAGUUGAAGCUGCAGUUGUUGGUGCUGUAGAUUUCACAAGUUCCUUCCAAGAAAGGUUGAGUUUUUUGUCCCCGAUGAAUGAAGGUGUUUUUGCGUGUAGUGGCUGAGUUAUCAAAGACAAUUGGUUCAAGAUUAUGGUCUCGUAUAAGCAACUUCAAAAUGUAUUUCUGUAUCGUAAAAUUCAGUUCAGUUACCUGUGCCAUAGACAGUAUAUUAUUGCAAGUCCUCAGCCCUGUAGUAGUAUUCUGCUUUUGAGCCUUCUGCAGAACCCAAAAGAUUUCACUGCUUAAAUAGUGCACAUUAAGUAGCAUUUUACGAAAAUUUUGAUAAAACCUGGAGAAUGCACCCACAAUUUUUUCUUUUUCUUCAUCAGAUUUAGCAGCAGCAAAUGCUUUAUUGUGCUCCACCAUCCCCUGAGUUAAUUUCUUAAUGGUAGCCCUAGCAAGCUCUUCAACACAGGUUAACCUUAAAUACCAAAGAAGAUGAGCGAAUUCAAGACGAGGUAAAGCACACACAUUACGGGUGUCAAAUGGGAGGGUUGAACGAAAUCUGAACGGGUAAAAGCAGGUUGUGUUAUGGACAGUCCAAUAACCCAUCCAAAGGUUACUUCUGCGGAAAUGAGUAGUGGGUCAUAUCUCAACCCGGCCAACUGUUACCAAAUUUUAAUUUCUUUGUUAUCUUAUAGAACUAGGUCUCAGUCCCAAAUAAGUUGGGAUCAACUACAUGAAUCUCAACUUUUUCAUUUAAGCUCAUUAAUCAAUUUGGACUACAUAUCAGGCCUGCUUUUAACUUUUAGAUUAGCUAAAUUCAGUGGGUCAAAAUGGGUUUGAGUUAAUAAAUGGCAGUCAUAUUUUCAUGGGCUAAUUUUGCCACUCCUAAAGCACAAUAAGUUAAAAGCGUAAGUGCUUCCAGCAUAGGAGUUUGACAUAGUCAUCAUUGACAACACCUAAUCAGUAACCUAGACUCCAUGAGCCAAUCAGAGUUAGCAAGGUUCUGAUUGCUUGCUUAGGGAAAAAGUACAGUUCACUGGUUACGUCUUUCUUCUUCUAGGAUUAUUUAUAUUUAUUGGAAAUAUUGAUUUUAUUUACUUUUUGAUUGGGUUUAUCGUGCUACAGCAGAUCAACGAAAAGGAAAAAUAAUGGAAGCAUAAAUAACGAUUGAUUCAAAAUAUAAAAUGACAGAACCUCUAAAGGUAUGACUCCAGCUUUGCCCACUCCUCGUUUCCUCCCAAACCUCAACUGAUCUUUGUUUUUUCCCUAGGUUAUUGCUAGUCUCAUCAUCAUCCUCUUUUUCGUUCUCCCACACUUGCUAAAACCAAUUUUAAUAGAAAACAUAUGCUGAAACCAUAUCUUAUGUCUUGCUAAAGAUGUGCUGCUUAAAAUCGUGCAUUCCUCUCUUUUCCCGAGGUCAUUGCUAGUAUCAUCUAUUCCUUCUUGCACCUUGCACCUCCAAUCUAUGUUUGCUCAGACUCUUCAAAAAUGCCUCCGGGCGCAGAUCAGAUCCUCCAAAAGUAGUGAAAUUUUUAAGGAUUCAACACGGGUGUAGCAGUAAUUUAGAGAGAGUGAGCAACAUAGCCUCCAAUAACUAUGAGUUCUACCUAAAGUUCUCUUCAAUUAAGAACAAAUCUCUAUAGAUAAAGAUGGGGACAAAAUAAGAUCAAGCUUUUUUCAGUAAGUUAUUUCUUCCUGUGCUGAUUGAUAAUCAAGCAAAUCACUAUAAUCUACUGCAGCUGAACCACCGUUACCAAGAUAUUUUGUGUUUUAACUAUCAAAAGUCUAAGAUAACCUUGCUU
rnacentral:lncRNA from 1 species